AAGAUGGCGCCGGCAGUAAGUCUCCUGUGAGCCUCAACAGAGUGAGUAGGAGCUUUUACAGAAUAAUUACAAUAAUACAGAAAGACAUUCAGAAAAAAUCAAAGUUUUAGCCUGAUAAAAGAAUCCGGGAGUUACCAGGAGGUAUUUCUUAAAUCCUCCCCUUUCCUCCCCUAUUCGAGGCUAAUUACAACCUUUGAGCUCCUGUUGAAUAAGGCCCUAGCACACGGCUAGAGAAGAUAACUUAAAUGGUUCUUACAAGACAGAAUUAUAAAGAACUGGGGAUCCCUCUAGCUCAAGCACAAGCUGUUGAACCCCCUGCCCCAAAGAAAAAGCAGGCAAAAAUUCCAUACUAUUUUAAACCAAAAGCAGAGGAAGCGAAAAGAAAUAAAAACAUAGAGAGCCUGCAUCCGCACGAAUGGUCUGUCGACCGUAUCUCGUUCAGAAGGGGCAUGGAAGCAGAGGGAGGAGGAGGAAAAGGAGUUGACCUGGCAACCGAGUUGGCACAGGCAACUACAGAAAGUACAGCCCUUGAGGCCCGACCAGAACAGGAGCCUCAGCUGGGAGACCCAGAAACCAAGUCAAAAGAAUCAACCCAUCAACCUAUGCUUAGAGGAAAGGGGGGGUCCCCUGCCCCGACAGAGGUGGAGGAGUGGCUAAACGACACAAGAGCUCGACAUCCAGACCUGGGCAGCUAUAAUUACAUAAUGACAGGGCUGUACAAAGAUCUGUUGGAAGAACAUCAAACUCAGCUAAUUAAAGAACUGGGGCCUAUUAAAAACUUUCUUUCAGAAUGUUUGGGUUUGCUCACCUCCCUGAUUGAACUAAUCAGGAGGAAAGAGGAUUGCCACUUUCACAAAGAAGACAUCAACAAGCCAAAUGGAAAUAAAACCCAGUCCAACACCAAAGAAAGGAAAACAAGCAGAGCCAAACUAGCCCAAGGAAAAGUACUGGCCACUAGGAAACCUUCCUUAAAGGGAAAGAGCCCAAUGCAUAAGAAGAAGCCGAAGAAUGUGAAAAUGGGUCGAAAGGCUAAGCUGCCCUCUCGGACUGGGAAAGUGAAUUUCUCAAAGUUAUUCAAGAUUCUGGAGAACUCAAGCACAAAGAACUCCAACAAAACAACGCCAAAUAAGAGCCAAAGCCCAAACAUUUUAAAUAUACAUCAGGUGGCUAGCCCUCCAAGGCUAGCAAAACAAUCGCUGCCCUCUAGUGGAAAAUUAAAGGAAACUCCAGAUCCAAAGCAAGAAACUCCCCAGAAGGGAGUACAAAAGAGCCAGAACUUAAUUUUAAUUAAACAUAAAUUAGUCCUCCUCCCUCUCUUCAAGCAUGGAGGCCUUUCCACGCUUGCACAACAGAGAAUUUAUUUACUUAAGAAAAUUGACUUAGUCAUCAGAGGCCUUAUACCAGCAGGAAAUAUUGUCAGCGUUAAAUUUCUUCCUUUUGAUAUGGCCCAAAACAGAGUUGUGGUGACCUUUAAGGACUGGUCGGUAACUAAACAAAUCAUGGACAAGAGGGACAGGCUCCAGAGGGCUGGCCUGUUGGUGACCCGCCUUUUUGAAGAGUCCGGCGUUCCACCAUCCCUCUUAGGAACACGUAAGCCGACUAGUCCGCGCACAGAAUUGGAAAUGGCUUCUGAAAACUGCAAACAAGGUCAACCGGAGGCAGUCAAAAUUUCCAAACAGAAGGCUAAGCUCCAAAAAACUUUACUCCCUUCCAAUGAACCCAAAAAAGAUAUCUUAAAUGAAAAGGAGAUGCUCUUUCUAGCCUCCCUUGAGCAAAUUCAACAGUCCCAGGAUGCGUUAAUAGCUAGGUUACAAACCAUUAAAAAAUCCUUAUUCCGCCAAGGUUUUUCUGCUCCUUUGGAAUUUAAUUUUGCUACUAACACAACAAAGCCCUUAUCCAACGAAGACUGGACGCAGUGCCGGUUCCUGUCCCCCGAAGAAGUGGGUUCUCCCACACAACCCUUAACACCUCAAACAACAACACACCAGGUAGACCUUGCCAUGCCGAUGAGUAGGAACGGUUCAAUCUUUGUGGAUGCCUCAGGAUCCUUAGAUGGCAUUCAGGUGGAGGACUGAAAGACAGAUACAGCGAGGGGACACCACGCCAGUGAAACAAAACUCACUAGGUUAGUACCUACCAGAAAGGAUACCAACAGCUCACUCCACCUCUACAAAAACAUUCAUUCCAUCAUCCUAAAGAACAAACGGAGAAGUCUACCUUUGUUCCCCUCACCACCAUAUUUUCACAUCUUAUCGUGGAAUGUGGCGGGCUGGCUGUCUAAGCAGGGCGCUGCUGAUUUUCUGGAUUUUCUCUCAAAAUUCCAGAUUAUUUGUCUACAAGAGACCUGGUGCCUAGACUCUCAUCCCCCUUACUUACAGGGCUAUGCGGCUUUUGCUACCCCUGCGAAAAAACUAAAUAACCGUGGCCGACCUAGCGGCGGUUUGGUCACUUUUAUUCCCAUAGAGCAAGGGUACAGGGUGCGACAACUGCAGUGGAUGAAGAACAACAAUUUUCAGAUUUUACUUAUCUCCAAUAACACAGGAGGAGAUCUUCUAUGUUUCAACGUCUAUAUCCCCCGUGUGUACUUCCUCUCAGACAGUACAAAUCUGGGAAGAUUUGGAGUCAUGCUUGGAGAAGGCCAAAAUAGAAUUCCCUGACUGGAACAUCCUGCUGGCAGGUGACUUUAAUGCCAGGAUAGGCAGCGACAUCAAUUCGUAUGGCUCCAAAACCCAGUUUCUACCAGAGGCAGACUGGCUUAUCCCUUGGAGUUCUGAUGAAAAGGUCUUGAACAAG